rnacentral:rRNA from 1 species
UUCGCUAGCCAUGCGAGUCAUAUGUUCUUCGUGAACAUGGCGUACUGCUCAGUAACACGUGGAUAACCUGCCCUUGGGUCCGGCAUAACCCCGGGAAACUGGGGAUAAUUCCGGAUAACGCAUAUAUGCUGGAAUGCUUUCUGCGUAAAAUGGAUUCGUCUGCCCAAGGAUGGGUCUGCGGCCUAUCAGGUAGUAGUGGGUGUAAUGUACCUACUAGCCGACGACGGGUACGGGUUGUGAGAGCAAGAGCCCGGAGAUGGAUUCUGAGACAUGAAUCCAGGCCCUACGGGGCGCAGCAGGCGCGAAAACUUUACAAUGCGGGAAACCGUGAUAAGGGGACACCGAGUGCCAGCAUCAUAUGCUGGCUGUCCGGGUGUGUAAAAUACACCCGUUAGCAAGGGCCGGGCAAGACCGGUGCCAGCCGCCGCGGUAACACCGGCGGCCCGAGUGGUGAUCGUGAUUAUUGGGUCUAAAGGGUCCGUAGCCGGUUUGGUCAGUCCUCCGGGAAAUCUGAUAGCUCAACUAUUAGGCUUUCGGGGGAUACUGCCAGGCUUGGAACCGGGAGAGGUAAGAGGUACUACAGGGGUAGGAGUGAAAUCUUGUAAUCCCUGUGGGACCACCUGUGGCGAAGGCGUCUUACCAGAACGGGUUCGACGGUGAGGGACGAAAGCUGGGGGCACGAACCGGAUUAGAUACCCGGGUAGUCCCAGCCGUAAACGAUGCUCGCUAGGUGUCAGGCAUGGCGCGACCGUGUCUGGUGCCGCAGGGAAGCCGUGAAGCGAGCCACCUGGGAAGUACGGCCGCAAGGCUGAAACUUAAAGGAAUUGGCGGGGGGAGCACAACAACGGGUGGAGCCUGCGGUUUAAUUGGACUCAACGCCGGACAACUCACCGGGGGGCGACAGCAAUAUGUAGGCCAAGCUGAAGACUUUGCCUG